rnacentral:rRNA from 1 species
GACGAACGCUGGCGGCGUGCUUAACACAUGCAAGUCGAACGAUGAAGCCGGAGCUUGCUCUGGUGAAUUAGUGGCGAACGGGUGAGUAACACGUGAGUAACCUGCCCUUGACUCUGGGAUAACUGCGGGAAACUGUAGCUAAUACCGGAUACGACCCUCGGAGGCAUCUCCUGGGGGUGGAAAGAAUUUCGGUCAAGGAUGGACUCGCGGCCUAUCAGCUAGUUGGUGAGGUAAAGGCUCACCAAGGCGACGACGGGUAGCCGGCCUGAGAGGGUGACCGGCCACACUGGGACUGAGACACGGCCCAGACUCCUACGGGAGGCAGCAGUGGGGAAUAUUGGACAAUGGGGGCAACCCUGAUCCAGCAAUGCCGCGUGAGUGAAGAAGGCCUUCGGGUUGUAAAGCUCUUUUGUCAGGGAAGAAACGGCAGCUCUAACACAGUAUGCGAAUGACGGUACCUGAAGAAUAAGCACCGGCUAAC